rnacentral:rRNA from 1 species
AAUCAAGUGGAGGACAAGUCUGGUGCCAGCACCCGCGGUAAUUCCAGCUCCACUAGCGUAUAUUAAAGUUGUUGCAGUUAAAAAGCUCGUAGUUGAACCUCUGUCUGGGGCUAGUUUUGGCUUUGGUCAGGCUAGUUCUAGGCAUCCGCCUACAAGACUUAGAGGGCAUUCAGUUGUUCACUAGGAGAGUAGGCAUUUUACUUUGAAAAAAUUAGAGUGUUUAAGGCAGGCAAUCGCCCGCAUAUAUUAGCAUGGAAUAAUAGAAUAGGACACUUUUCCAUUUCGUUGGUUAUUGGAAUCGUGUAAUGAUUAAUAGGGACAGUUGUGGGCAUUUGUAUUUAAUUGCCAGAGGUGAAAUUCUUGGAUUUAUUAAAGACAAACUAACGCGAAAGCAUUUGCCAAGGAUGUUUUCAUUAAUCAAGAACGAAAGUUAGGGGAUCAAAGACGAUCAGAUACCGUCCUAGUCUUAACUAUAAACUAUUCCGACUCAAUGUUUGACUGGCUUAUAUAACCAGUUGAGCGUUGUAUGAGAAAUCAAAGUCUUUAGGUUCUGGGGGGAGUAUGGUUGCAAAGCUGAAACUUAAAGGAAUUGACGGAAGAGCACAACCAGGAGUGGAUUCUGCGGCUUAAUUUGACUCAACACGGGGAAACUUACCAGGUUAAAACAAUAGUGGGAUUGACAGCUUGAGAGCGCUUUCUUGAUUGGUUGGGUGGUGGUGCAUGGCCGUUCUUAGUUGGUGGAGUGAUUUGUCUGCUUAAUUGCGUUAACGAACGAGACCUUAACCUGCUUACUAGACUGGCGAUCAUCAAUCGUUAGCUCUUCUUAGAGGGACUUUGGUUGUUUUAACUCCAAGGAAGUUUGAGGCAAUAACAGGUCUGUGAUGCCCUUAGAUAUCCUGGGCCGCACGCGUCAUACAAUGACUAGUUCAGAAAGUUUUCUCCUGACCCGAAAGGGGAUGGGUAAUCUUGAUAAUACUAGUCGUGUUAGGGAUCGAUCUUUGCAAUUAUAGAUCUUGAACGAGGAAUUCCUAGUAAGUGCGGUUCAUCAGACCGUACUGAUUACGUCCCUGCUCUUUGUACUCACCGCCCGUCGCUUCUACCGAGUGGGUGGUCCGGUGAGAUAAUUGAACUUCGCAGGUAACUGAGAGGAAAGAUUAUCAAACCUAUCCACCU